rnacentral:lncRNA from 1 species
CCACCCCCUAUGCUUCCGACUAGUAUUGCUGCUUCAUGACUUGACUUAGAGUCAGAAAUAGAAGGAUUGCUUCCCGACGGUGAUGGAGCAGAAGUAUUAGGUACUGUAUCAUUUCCAGAAGGUUUAGAAGCAGGAGCAGAGGGAGGUUGUGGAACAGGAGAGGGGGGAGGUCGUGGAACAGGAGCAUCCCUUAAAUAUGUACUAUUUGUGGACAGUUCAGAAGAUGCAGGAUGAGUUGGAGCUUUUGGUGACUUUGCAGAAGUGUUUGCCGUUUCUUGCAGCAAUUUCCUUAGCACUGCACCUUCAGAUCGGUCAC